rnacentral:sRNA from 1 species
CCGGUUGGCGAGCAUGCGAAUUCAAUUAAAUUUCUCAAUAAAUUACAAGUGCAGAAAGAUAAAUACAGAAAAAAAAUGAGUAAAAAUAAUCGCACGCGUUUCCACAGGCGCUUCAGUUCAGAUGCAUAUAGUUAGUAAAUAUCUAAAAAAAAAAAAAAACAAGCUAACUGGUCUGGGCCGGCAUUUAAACCGGUACUUAGCACCCCGAUCUGUGAUCUGUGAUUACGCAAGUGCAAGUGCGGUGCACACGAAAACAUCACCUUAACUCACCUGAGAUCGCCCGAGAUCACAACGUACGCACAUCACACAUACGCCGCGUUGUACGCAAGCGAAAAUGAAAACAAAAACGAAAAUGAAAAUGAAAACAUCGGAAAAACGACGCACAGCUGAAAUUCUAGAUCAAGGCCACGCCCGGCUAGCCCCAUAAACAUAAAUCCACAUCAAUGUACGUUUGGCACACGCAAAAUGCGUAAACUAGUUUGCGCUUGGCUCCAGGAGAUCCAUGGAGCGGGAGGAUUACUGGGGCACCUCGCCCAGUCGCCAAGGAAGCAGUGCGUCGUCGAACACAACGAACACGAUAAAUUGUCAGGCGAAUGCAUUUUGUCACAUUUGGCCAUUUUGCAUUUGUAAAUUACAAGACAAAACACUUAGCAGUCGGCCAAGAAAUUUGGGUUGCACUGCCACGCGGCACCCAAUUACACAUGAAAAUGUAUCUGACUUUUUUGCUUGUAGAGCGUGGAGUCGAAUGUGGAGCACUUUUGCUUACUUAAUUUAUUUAUUAACGGCAAUGCUGGGAAUAACAGUAGCUAAAAAAACCAUAAACUGUUACGAGAUCUUUAGUUGUAGGUAUUUUAAAUGUUUUACUGGCCAAAUGUAGCGCAUUCAGAAGAUAAAGAUGCAUUAUGAAAUAAUUUCAAACUAUCUGAAGAUACAAAUAGGGAUCCUAUAUGAAGUCCAACUAAACAUACAAGGAGCCAACAAACUAAGCAGCGUUUAAAGGGGCACAUUAAAUUGUAUUUCGUAUAUAUAUAUUUGUAAAAUAACACUUUUAACCACGACUUUAGCACGACAAUAUUUCUGGGCUGGCUCAGUUGGAUAGUUGCGAGUUGGACAGGUUCGAGCU